rnacentral:rRNA from 1 species
AUUGAACGCUGGCGGCAUGCCUUACACAUGCAAGCCGAACGGCAGCACGGGGCAACCUGGUGGCGAGUGGCGAACGGGUGAGUAAUGCAUCGGAACGUACCUUUCAGUGGGGGAUAGCGUAGCGAAAGUUACGCUAAUACCGCAUAUUCUGUGAGCAGGAAAGCAGGGGAUCGCAAGACCUUGCGCUGAUUGAGCGGCCGAUGUCAGAUUAGCUAGUUGGUGAGGUAAAGGCUCACCAAGGCGACGAUCUGUAGCGGGUCUGAGAGGAUGAUCCGCCACACUGGAACUGAGACACGGUCCAGACUCCUACGGGAGGCAGCAGUGGGGAAUUUUGGACAAUGGGGGCAACCCUGAUCCAGCCAUGCCGCGUGAGUGAAGAAGGCCUCCGGGUUGUAAAGCUCUUUCGGCCGGGAAGAAAUCGCACGGGCUAAUACCCUGUGUGGAUGACGGUACCGGAAUAAGAAGCACCGGCUAAUUACGUGCCAGCCGCCGCGGUAA